AAGUUUAUUGUAAAAUAAAUUCUUUCUAAUCUGUUCUUAUCAGCUUAAUAUCUGAUACGCUCCCCAUCGGGGAGCCAGAAUAUUAAACUGUUUUUUGGAAAGUGGCGGAGAGUUUCUGAAGCUUGCUUCGGCUCCGCCGCGGUCGUCCCUACUCUGCAGUAUCGUGGGGCACGGCCUAUUUUU